rnacentral:rRNA from 1 species
GAUGAACGCUGGCGGCGUGCCUAAUACAUGCAAGUCGAGCGAACGGACGAGAAGCUUGCUUCUCUGAUGUUAGCGGCGGACGGGUGAGUAACACGUGGAUAACCUACCUAUAAGACUGGGAUAACUUCGGGAAACCGGAGCUAAUACCGGAUAAUAUUUUGAACCGCAUGGUUCAAAAGUGAAAGACGGUCUUGCUGUCACUUAUAGAUGGAUCCGCGCUGCAUUAGCUAGUUGGUAAGGUAACGGCUUACCAAGGCAACGAUGCAUAGCCGACCUGAGAGGGUGAUCGGCCACACUGGAACUGAGACACGGUACAGACUCCUACGGGAGGCAGCAGUAGGGAAGCUUCCGCAAUGGGCGAAAGCCUGACGGAGCGACGCCGCGUGAGUGAUGAAGGGCUUCGGAUCGUAAAACUCUGUUAGUAGGGUAGAACAUAUGUGUAAGUAACUGUGCACAUCUUGACGGUACCUAAACAGAAAGCCACGGCUAACUACGU